AUGGAGAGAGCAGGAAGCAUUACCACCAGCAGCACCACCCGCACCACCAGCAGCAGCAGCACAUUUCCUCAUCCUGUGACUGUGGAGCCCAUGGACCAGUUAGAUGAUGAAGAGGGACUUCCAGAGAAGCUGGUUAUAAAGAACCAGCAAUUUCACAAGGAGCGAGAGCAGCCACCCAGAUUUGCACAGCCUGGCUCCUUUGAGUAUGAGUAUGCCAUGCGCUGGAAGGCACUCAUUGAAAUGGAGAAGCAGCAGCAGGACCAAGUGGACCGUAACAUCAAGGAGGCUCAUGAGAAGCUGGAGAUGGAGAUGGAGGCUGCUCGCCAUGAGCACCAGGUCAUGCUGAUGAGACAGGAUUUAAUGAGGCGCCAAGAAGAACUUUGGAGGAUGGAAGAGCUGCACAACCAAGAGGUGCAAAAACGAAAGCAACUGGAGCUCAGGCAGGAGGUGGAGCUCAGGCGCCGUGAGGAAGAGAUAAGGAGGCAACAGGAAGAAAUGAUGCGGCGACAGCAGGAAGGAUUCGAGGUAACCUUCCCUGAUGCGAGAGAACAGAAGAUACGGAUGGGCCAGAUGGCCAUGGGAGGUGCUAUGGUCAUAAACAACAGAGGUGCCAUGCCCCCUGCUCCUGUGCCGGCUGGUACCCCAGCUCCUCCAGGACCUGCCACUAUGAUGCCGGAUGGAACCUUGGGAUUGACCCCACCAACAACUGAAUGCUUUGGCCAAGCUGCUUACAAUGGAAGGAGUUGGGGCAAUUGGUGGAACUCCUCCUGCAUUCAACCAUGCAGCUCCUGGAGCUGAAUUUGCUCCAAACAAACGUCGCUGAUACUAAUAAAGUUGCAGUGUCUAGUUUCUCAAAACCCUUAAAAGAAGGACCCUUUUUGGACUAGCCAGAAUUCUACCCUGUAAAAGUGUUAGGGAUUCCUCCUAAUAGUUAGGUCUACCCUGCCUGUACUACUCUAGGGGGUAUGCUGGAGGCAGAGGGCAGGGGAGGGGUGGUAUUUAACAAAUCAGUUCUGUGUGGUAUGUUGUUUAACUAAUCAGUUCUAUGUGGUGCAUUCCUGAAGUCUCAAAUGAGAUUGUUGAGGGCCUGGGGGAACCAUGGCAAAAUGGAUCCAGUUAGAGCCCUAUUAAUCUUGAUCAUUCCGGUUUUUGUCCAUCCUGUUUUGUUUUCUUAUCCUUACACCCCCUAUCCCAGAGACACUGCCACAUGACACCACAAAAUCCCCCAAUGACCUUAGCCCAUUGCUCCAUUUACUCCCAGGUGAGAAUUCAGGCAAAUGUCCACAGAGGUCACAGACAGCGUACAUACGGUUCUGUUAUAUCCCAUAUAUUACCCUUAAUGUCUUUAAGGAAGACAUUUUCUCUUAGAGAUUUUCAUUUUAGUAUAUCUUUAAAAAAAAAUCUGGUGUUAACUUGCCUCCAUCCUUUUCUUGGGUAAAGAUGACCCAGGAAUGGCCCUUUUGUGUCUAUGAUGUUGCUGUUCACAGCUUUUUUUGAUAGGCCUAGUACAAUCUUGGGAACAGGGUUGCUGUAUGCUGAAAGUCUGACAGUAGCUCUUAGCCUUGCCUAUCUUAGGUAGUUAUGCUGUGCAUUUUUUAUUGGUGUACCAUGUUUGAUUUGUCCCUGAUACCUUAAAUUUGAAGUUUUUCUGAGAAAUGGAGCAGUAAUGCAGCAUCAACUUAUUAAAAUACAUUUUAAACCUUU